UACGGAGGGUGCAAACGUUGCUCGGAAUCAUUGGGCGUAAAGCGCACGUAGGCGGUUCGUUAAGUCGGAUGUGAAAGCCCUCGGCUCAACCGAGGAAGGGCAUCCGAAACUGGCGUGCUUGAGUAUGGAAGAGGGUCUCGGAAUUCCCGGUGUAGAGGUGAAAUUCGUAAAUAUCGGGAGGAACACCAGUGGCGAAGGCGGAGACCUGGGCCAAUACUGACGCUGAGGUGCGAAAGCGUGGGGAGCAAACAGG
rnacentral:rRNA from 1 species